GACGAACGCUGGCGGCGUGCUUAACACAUGCAAGUCGAACGAAGUGGCGAACGGGUGAGUAACGCGUAAUCACCUUGCACUCCAGAGGGGGACAACAGUUGGAAACGACUGCUAAUACCGCAUACUGAAGGCGGGGCUUCCGUCGGAUACGGUAGUUGGAGGGGUAACGGCCCCCCAAGGCGAUGAUCAGUAGCCGGUCUGAGAGGGUGAACGGCCACAUUGGGACUUAGACACGGCCCAGACUCCUACGGGAGGCAGCAGUGGGGAAUCUUCCGCAAUGGACGAAAGUCUGACGGAGCAACGCCGCGUGAGUGAUGACGGCCUUCGGGUUGUAAAGCUCUGUUAGUCGGGACGCGGUACCGAAAUAGAAAGCCACGGCUAACUACGUGCCAGCCGCCGCGGUAAUUC
rnacentral:rRNA from 1 species